UAAUGUAUGGGGAUCUGCCCGAUAGAGGGGGGUAACUACUGGAAACGGUGGCUAAUACCGCAUAAUGUCUACGGACCAAAGCAGGGCUCUUCGGACCUUGCACUAUCGGAUGAACCCAUAUGGGAUUAGCUAGUAGGUGGGGUAAAGGCUCACCUAGGCGACGAUCUCUAGCUGGUCUGAGAGGAUGAUCAGCCACACUGGGACUGAGACACGGCCCAG
rnacentral:rRNA from 1 species